UACAGAGGUCUCAAGCGUUGUCCGGAAUCACUGGGCGUAAAGGGCGCGUAGGCGGCUCAUGAAGGCUGUGGUGAAAGUCCGGGGCUCAACCUCGGAUCGGCCGUGGCGACUCGUGGGCUGGAGCACUGUAGAGGCGGGUGGAAUUCCGGGUGUAGCGGUGGAAUGCGUAGAGAUCCGGAGGAACACCGAAGGCGAAGGCAGUCUCCUGGCAAGUUUCUGACGCUCAGGUGCGAAAGCUAGGGGAGCGAACAGG
rnacentral:rRNA from 1 species